GAGUUUGAUCAUGGCUCAGAACGAACGCUGGCGGCAUGCCUAACACAUGCAAGUCGAACGAAGGCUUCGGCCUUAGUGGCGCACGGGUGCGUAACGCGUGGGAAUCUGCCCUUUGCUUCGGAAUAACAGUGGGAAACUACUGCUAAUACCGGAUGAUGUCUUCGGACCAAAGAUUUAUCGGCAAGGGAUGAGCCCGCGUAGGAUUAGGUAGUUGGUGGGGUAAAGGCCUACCAAGCCGACGAUCCUUAGCUGGUCUGAGAGGAUGAUCAGCCACACUGGGACUGAGACACGGCCCAGACUCCUACGGGAGGCAGCAGUGGGGAAUAUUGGACAAUGGGGGAACCCGUCGAUCCACGCAAUGCCGCGUGAGGGAGUGAAGGUC
rnacentral:rRNA from 1 species